GUCCACGCCGUAAACGAUGUCAACUAGCCGUUGGAAUCCUUGAGAUUUUAGUGGCGCAGCUAACGCAUUAAGUUGACCGCCUGGGGAGUACGGCCGCAAGGUUAAAACUCAAAUGAAUUGACGGGGGCCCCGCACAAGCGGUGGAGCAUGUGGUUUAAUUCGAAGCAACGCGAAGAACCUUACCAGGCCUUGACAUCCAAUGAACUUUCCAGAGAUGGAUUGGUGCCUUCGGGAACAUUGAGACAGGUGCUGCAUGGCUGUCGU
rnacentral:rRNA from 1 species